rnacentral:rRNA from 1 species
GGGGAAUAUUGCGCAAUGGGCGAAAGCAUGACCCAGCAACGCCGCGUGAAGGAAGAAGGCCUUCGGGUUGUAAACUUCUUUUAAGAGGGACGAAGAAGUGACGGUACCUCUUGAAUAAGCCACGGCUAACUACGUGCCAGCAGCCGCGGUAAUACGUAGGUGGCGAGCGUUAUCCGGAUUUACUGGGUGUAAAGGGCGCGUAGGCGGGAAUGCAAGUCAGAUGUGAAAUCCAAGGGCUCAACCCUUGAACUGCAUUUGAAACUGUAUUUCUUGAGUGUCGGAGAGGUUGACGGAAUUCUUAGUGUAGCGGUGAAAUGAGUAGAUAUUAGGAGGAACACCAGUGGCGAAGGCGGUCAACUGGACGAUAACUGACGAUGAGGCGCGAAAGCGUGGGGAGCAAACAGGAUUAGAUACCAUGGUAGUCCACGCCGUAAACGAUGAAUAAUAGGUGUGGGGGGAC